AUGACGUCAAAUCAUCAUGCCCCUUAUGUUCUGGGCUACACACGUGCUACAAUGGCCGGUACAGACGGAGGCGAAGCCGCGAGGCGGAGCAAAUCCGAAAAAGCCGGUCUCAGUUCGGAUUGCAGGCUGCAAUUCGCCUGCAUGAAGUCGGAAUCGCUAGUAAUCGCAGGUCAGCAUACUGCGGUCGAAUACGUUCCGGGCCUU
rnacentral:rRNA from 1 species